rnacentral:lncRNA from 1 species
UGAGCAAAGAGACAGUUAAGUGGUAUCAGCUGACUGCGGCAACGUAUCUAUAAACUUCCGACUUCUGAGCUUUGGAAACAAGGAGUUAUAAAUGUGUGCGCAUGCGCACAUACACACACUUGGGAACUUUGUAUAAUUUCAUACUUUGGCAGAAAUUAUAAACUUAACAUGUUGGACCAACUGUCAGUCAUAUGACUAACUUUUAUAGAAGCCAUUGCUAUUUCAAAGUUAUUUUGUUGAGUGCUACCAAUCCCAAACUUAAUAUAUACUAAGUCCUGAAAAAGACUUUGACAUAAUACUGUGUCAUUUUGGUCACCUUGUCUGUACUCUUCCUACACAGACACAGCAAAUUGUUUUUUGUUAUGCACCUCACAGCCUUUACCACUGUGUAUGUUCACAGACACCAAAGGAAAGAUGCAGCUGCUACUCAACAGGCUGAAACGCAAAGCACAAAUAGUAGUCAGAAUGCUGAGAACUACUAAGUCGUUUAUAGAAUAGAAAAAAAUACGAUUUUUAUUCAUUGUUAAAGCCUUUUCAGAGUAAGUGCCAAUGACUGAAGUUGUAAAUAACAGUGCCUUACUUAACUACAUGCUUCACUGGCACUCUACUUCUGAUUAAAGAGCAAGUAGUUUUCAUGCAUUUUCACCUUACUGAGGACAGCAAGUCAUGCACAUUUACUAAUGGUUUCUCCACAGAAAUACUAUUUCCUCUACUUCUGGUUGUUUUCACUAUUAAGCUAUUUAACUUAAUGUUUAUUGCCCCGUAAUUGAAUGAGAUUGAUAUUCAAAAUUAGUAUUCUAAAUUCUAUCAUUCCAUUAUCAUUUGUAAGGGUGUGAACUGAAAUUGGAGUUUCACUUCCAUGUAUUUAUACUUUACUCCCUCAUUAAACAAAUGGAAAUUGUUCAGCCUUAUUCCCUAUUUUGUUUGGUAACGUGCUCAGGCAGGAUAAGGAGUUUAAUUUAGACAUUUAUGGAAGGUGUUGUGUAAACUGUCCUGUAUUUGGAAACAUUGUACAUUCACAUGAAAGAAUUAUUUUCUGUAAUAUACUGAAAUGAAAAUUGCAAGAGAGAAGUGUGAAGUUACUGUGGAGUAGCCAUUAAGAAUAAGAUUCAUUUUUAAAGCCAGGCAUGGUAGCACACGCCUUUAAUCCCGGCACUUGGGAGGCAGAGGCAGGCGGAUUUCUGAGUUCGAGGCCAGCCUGGUCUACAGAGUGAGUUCCAGGACAGCCAAGGCUACACAGAGAAACCCUGUCUCAAAAAAUAAAAAAAGAUUCAUUUUUAUUCCCCAUUUCAGACAUAAUUUUGUUUAGUUUUGAUAAACAUGUAUAUAUAAUAAAUUUCUUGGUUAGAAGUUCAAAUAUUUUUAGAAAGGUAAUAGAGAUGUAGCAAAUUUGGUAGUUAAGAGAAAACUGACAAACUACUUAAUGAAGGGUACCAAGAAAGGACAAUCGGAUUCAGUUCGCUAGAAUAAAAUUUUUAUGAACUGUACAAAGUGAUUGACAGAAAUGAUGAUGCUUACAGAGUUAAAUUAAGAGUUAAGAGUGUUAUCAUUGGAAUACAUUUUUUAAAAAAAAUCAAAACUUGAAAUAUUUGGUGCCUAACACUAUGGUCCAUUUGUAGGGAAACCUGUAUGAGUAUGUGAAUUUUUUAUAUUAAACUGUGUUGUCUACUUGAUAAUUGAAAUGAAGAUCUAAGCACCGUUGUUUGCUUUUUCCACAAUUAACAUUUCCUUAAAUAGUUUUGCAGAUGUAAGUAGCACUAGAAUAUUUUUUUUCUUUUGAGAGAAACCUAAUUCCAUUCCAUGGGUCACCCAGACUUAAAAAAAUGCUGUUUGUAAAAGGUCGUCAUUGACUGGACUCGUGGACCUUUUUGUGAUCUGUUACCGUGUAUCUUAGCAGAAACAGAAUUAAAAAUGUAAUGUCACUUCAGUGACAAGAAAUCUGAUUAAUAUCUAAAAGUAUAUAUUAUAAGUAAUACUGUAUAGUUAACAAGAAUUCAAAAGGUGAUACUGUCUCUUAAUUUUACUCAAUUUGUGCCUUCUUUGGUCAUUAGAAUACAUAUAUUUUAAUGUAAGUUAUUUCUUUGUAAAAUGCUAAUCUUCAGCCCAUACCAAAAAAACAGUGAUAGGGAGGAAGAACGUAGCCUCUGUGCACUGCGGCUGCAGUCACCAUAGUCAGCUGGCUUCUAGAGCUUCUUAACAGUCACCUUAAAAUACAUCGGAAAACGAGAACGCUAGACAGGCCAAGACACUAAUGUUUAUGUAUAUCAUAUUUAUAACUACCUUCAAGUAAAAAUAAGUCUGCUACAUACAAGUCCUGUGCCAGAAUUCUUUGUUCUUGCCAGUGCUCUAGGAUCUGAAGAUGAUCGCUCAUCCCAAGAACCUGUUUUCUCUGAGGAAUCCAAUGAGACUGGCACCAAUGCUUUAUAUUACUGUGUUUAUGGGAAUGAGUUGUUAAAGCAUGUGUAUCUUUUUUAAGUACUUUUUUUUCAAAUUAAAGUUGUAUAUAAAGUUCAAAAUCUUGCCUUAAAUUGUUUAAUUCUUUCUAAGACUCAUGAAUUGUAACAUUUAAAAAAAUUCACUUUUGAUAACUCAGAUUUAAACAAACACUGAAGACCUGCUAUUAUGAUACACAUUUACUUACACGCUGUUCACCAGCAAUGCAAACAUACAUGUGAUUACUAGUGUCGCCUGUAAGAAGAAAAUGCUUUAAUUAUAUCAGCAUAGUGAGUUAAGAUGUAUAAUAUUUUUAUUAAUACUUGGAAUAUAUUCAUUGAAUUAAAUGUGACUUCAUAACUAUACUACAAUUAAAAUAUUUCUG